UUAUGGUCAUAUCACUUUGAAAUAGCUGUUCUCGUACGAUCACCGAAGUUAAGCAACGAUGAGCCAGGUCAGUACCUAGAUGAAUGACCGCUUGGGAAUACCAACGGCUGUAA